UUGGGCCUACGGGACGCAGCAGUGAGGAAUAUUGGUCAAUGGGAGAGAUCCUGAACCAGCCACGCCGCGUGAGGGAAGACGGCCCUAUGGGUUGUAAACCUCUUUUGUCAGAGAACAAAACCCGGGACGUGUCCCGGACUGCGUGUAUCCGAAGAAAAAGCAUCGGCUAACUCCGUGCCAGCCGCCGCGGUAAUACGGUGGAUGCGAGCGUUAUCCGGAUUUAUUGGGUUUAAAGUGUGCGUAGGCGGUCCGUUAAGUCAGCGGUAAAAUGGCGGG
rnacentral:rRNA from 1 species